rnacentral:rRNA from 1 species
CCUACGGGAGGCUGCAGUGGGGAAUAUUGGGCAAUGGGCGCAAGCCUGACCCAGCAACGCCGCGUGAAGGAAGAAGGCUUUCGGGUUGUAAACUUCUUUUGACAGGGAAGAGUAGAAGACGGUACCUGUCGAAUAAGCCACGGCUAACUACGUGCCAGCAGCCGCGGUAAUACGUAGGUGGCAAGCGUUGUCCGGAUUUACUGGGUGUAAAGGGCGUGUAGCCGGGUUGACAAGUCAGAUGUGAAAUCCUGCGGCUUAACCGCAGAACUGCAUUUGAAACUGUUGAUCUUGAGUACUGGAGAGGCAGACGGAAUUCCUAGUGUAGCGGUGAAAUGCGUAGAUAUUAGGAGGAACACCAGUGGCGAAGGCAGUCUGCUAGACAGCAACUGACGGUGAGGCGCGAAAGCGUGGGGAGCAAACAGGAUUAGAUACCCGGGUAGUC